GGUAUAUCAGGUUGAAGCCAGCUCUCUGUAAAGCACAAAAUGCCACUAUAUUUGUAUGCUCAAUGGUCUGCUAUUAGCUCAGACAGUUCAUCCAUCUUAUUGACAGUGAUCAAUCAUUGCCCAUUACAAUAGAUGGUAGACCAGUUCUAAAACCUUUACACUUUGCUUUUACUGUUAUGUCAGCACAACUCCCUGUCCAUCAGUGGACAAACAGCUCCUGCGGUAAAGAUUAAUUGAGCUGCUCAGGCGAUCACAGUGCAAGUAGCCGAUUAUGGAAGUAUUUAAUACACCUUGCUUUCAUUUUCUCAGUGUCUUUUACUGUUUCAGGUGUUGCAGACAUCAGGAAACCUUUGGGUCCUCUUCGCAACUCUAUCCAAGUUUGCAGCCCAUUUGAAGCGCAAUCAAGACAAGCCAACGCCUGGGUUUGUAUACAUUGCAGUUCAUCGUGUUAACGAGAAAAAAAGAAGAAGUCAUGGAAUUAAGGCAUAUUUUAAGUACUGUGGGAUACCUCUUGAUGCACUUGGAAUAUGGGAUUGCCAAUGACCACCUUCAAUGCAACACUGACGAUUUUAACAGCUCUGUCUAUAAAAGAUGCAUCAGUACCUUCUCUGUCAACUUAAAGAAGUUAAAAAGCAGAGAUGAAUGUCUGGGCCCAAGUAUGAUAAGGUUUUAUAGAGCUCUGAUGGAUUGUGUUGACAGUCAAGCCAAUGCUGCUUCCUGCACUGACAGCUCCUUAACUGACCAGAUUUUCUUACAACUUCACAAACAGUUCUUCUCUUUGGGCAUUUCCACUCCAUGUGUGGGUUUACCAGAUAUCACCCUCAUGCUGAUCUUACUGUGUGUCAUUAUUACACUGCUUCUUCCUAUUGUGUGCACUGUUUUGGCUAUUAAGACUUAAUGACUUUGGUUCUUAGUUAUACUUUCUUACAAUUUGUUGGAUCACGUUUGGAACUGUUGUGACCUACAGUACACCAACUGGUAUGUGCUAUACCACGAACAGGAAGGUAGCCCUUCAGGGGACAGGCCUCUGCAGUUUAGUACCUACAAUCAGCAUCAAAUCAGCACCUUGAAAGAUUGGACAAAGUGUAGGGACCUUAAAAUGUUAUAUUGAUGUUUCAAAACAAUACUGGAACACCAAGAGCUGUUAGGAAUCAGCACAUAAAUUAGAACAUUAGAACAAUUUUGACAGGAGUAGGCCAUGUAGCCAAACAAAGCUCACCAAUCCUAUCCACCUAAUUUCUCCAACCUAUCAUCACAGUGAGCUUUGAAGGUCGCUAAACUUCUACAAUCUACCACACUUCUUGGGGAAUUUUUUCUAUGUGUGUUCUUUUUCCAAAUUAAAACUUUCAAUAGUUUGUGCAAAAUCUAACCUAAACAAGUUUCCAUCUAUACCACCGGUUUUUGAACAUUUUUCCUAAAGUAACAGCUGGGUCCCACUGUUCUAGUUCUCUUCAUAAUUUUAAGAACUUCAUUCAUGUCUCCUCUUAAUUGGUUUUCUUAAACUGAAACUAAAUUGUUAUUUUAACUCACACCUCUCAGCCCUGGAAUCAGCCUAGUUCAGUAGUGGGCAGUGGGUCACAAAUGGGAGAAGGGGCACUUUACGGGACCAAAUUUUGCCUACUUUUUAUUUCAUGGAAUAUUUGCAUGGCAUUAUAAUAUUCACAACUUUGGCCAAAAAUUAUUUUACAAGAUUAGAAAAGACACUAUGGCCCCUCUACUGUACAUACAAGGGGGUACCCAAAAAUAACCAGAACUGAAAAAAAAAUUGUUUUAAUAAGUUUUACUUACUGAAACUUUAGUCUCCUUCAAAGUACUCUCCAUGUGAAUGAAUGCACUUGUCCCAACUGUUUUCCUACUGGUGGAAACAUUUUUGGAAUUGCUGAAGAGGAACGUUGUCUAAUGCCUGCAGCGAUUUUUCUUUGACUACCUCCACUGUACAAAAACACUUUCCUUUGAGUUCUUUUUUCAUAUGCGGGAACAAGAAAAAGUUGAACGGAGCAAGAUCAGGCGAGUAGGGAAGGUGGCAAGAACUCCAAGAUGCACAAGUCAAUUCAGAAAUCUCUUCAAUAGUCCGACAACGAUCUUUGUAAAUCGCAUUGCAAACUUUUUCAAGGUUUUCAGCAUUCCUAAUUGUGGAAGGUCAGCCUGAUCUUAAUUGGUCUUCAAGUGACGUUUCCCCUCAUUUGAAAUGUGAAAACCACUUGUAGACCUGUGUUUUACUUAAAACUUCCUCUUUAAAAGCAGUUUCAAGCAUCGCUACAAUUUCAGCAGCUGUUUUCCCUAACAGAAAACAAAAUUUAAUACAGACUCGUUGUUCUUUAUGAUCACCCAUCACAAAAAUAGCACAACAUAUUUAAUAAGCACCAAGAAAAACUGACACGGAAUGCCAUACAAACAAUACAGAGCAAUGCCACUUGGCCCACUGCCACAGAAUACUGUAAGUAUGCUACACCCUAGCGGCAAAAUUCACAACUAAGUCUAGAUGGCGUGCCAGGUACAGAUUCCGCUUAUUUUUGGGUACCCCCUUGUAUACUUCAUUUUCCUGAUGAAACACAUCUUAACAAGACAAAGAAGGGAAAAAACAGAAUUCCCAUCUAGCUAUUGAAAUACCAAAUGGAUUUUAAUGGCAAGAGGUCACAUUAUAGCACACAAAUCCAAGAGAAGCACCUAUUGUGGGUCAAGCACUCAAAAAGCCACUGGAAGUGAUCCUCUGAUACCAGAGGUCACAAUUCUCUUUUGUGCAUUACACUUUUAGCAAGGAAAAGCAAAAUUUGAGGUUUCUUUGUUCAUAAAUAAAGAUGUAUUUUUGGUGGAAUUAAUAGCUAUAGCUGUCAUAAACCAUGGAAGGACUGGGAUGAAAAAUUGUCCCUGGGCUUUUGUCAUCACAAUUGGCCGGACACCAAUCAUUCUUGCACCCAGUGUUUUUCUUAUCAAAGAAAACUAGAAUGACAUUAACAAAAAAUAAUCUUGUUAAGUAAAACUGAAUAAAAAUGAAAACACAACAUGUCCAAAAACUAGAACCCAACUAAAACAAAAAAUAAUAAACAAACACAUAACUAGUGUUUGUAAUUUUGAUUUUUGUGUGCAGUUGAUGGUAUACUCAUUAAUACCACACAGUCUUAAUUUUAGUUUAGAAAGCACAGAUUUGUGCACAUGUGCAAGUACCCCUCGCUACAACCAUCCGAGUCUAGCAUAAUAAGGGGAUUUCAUUGGUCAGAACUGAGAGCGAAUACCAAAGCCUCAUAAUUGGCCAGUGGUUUCUUUUGAGGAUUUCAUUGGUUACAACUGGACAUCAGUCACGAAUGUCCUGCUGGUCAUCACCGAGUGGCAGCUUUUACCAGACUUCAAGGAGAAGGCACUAUUCUGUUCCUUAGGUGGAUUUUAGUGGUCAAGUCUGGCUUCAAAUUUGGUCAGUAUUUAGGCGAAAAAAGAAAUGUUCUGUUAUUGGUAGGAAGUUCAUCAACCAACAUCAGUGAGCUGCGCUUCCAAAUUAUGAAACUUGUGGCUGUAAGUGUUUACUAGCUGUGCUCCUUUGCAAAAGAAAAAAAAAAGAUAAAAAUCUGAAGUCAGAUUUUAAUAUCUUAAUUUUAUUAUUAUUAGUAGAAAUAUAGUAACAUCUACCAGUCAAAUUAGCAUACUGUAAACAGGUAGAAUAAAAAAGAUCAGCAUGCAGUAGCUAGCUAUGGAAGUUUAUUCAUGCCACUCGAAAAAAAAAAUUGUAAUUGCAUUAUUUCAUAAAAAUAUUGCUUGCUUGCCAGAGUUAUCAUUGCAGUGAGAGAUUAAGCAGACAUGUAGCAUACAAUCAAUG